GUCUUUUUGAAAAUAAUUUAAAGUCAAAUCUGCCCACUGAAUUUAUUUAAAGGGCUGCAGUAUAUUGACUGUACAAAGGUAGCAUAAUCAUUAGUCUUUUAAUUGAAGACUUGUAUGAAUGAUUUGAUGAGAUAUAAACUGUCUUUUUGUUAAAUAUAGAAGUUAAUUUUUUAGUUAAAAAGCUAAAAUAUUUUUAAAAGACGAGAAGACCCUAUAGAGUUUGAUAUUUUAUUAAAUUUAAAUUUUAUAUAAAAUUUUAAAUUUAAAUUUAAUAAAUUAUUUUAUUGGGGUGAUAGAAAAAUUAAAUAAACUUUUUUUUAAAAAUUAACAUUGAUUUAUGAAUAUAUGAUCCAUAAUUUAUGAUUAUAAGAAUAAAUUACCUUAGGGAUAACAGCGUAAUUUUUUUUUUUAGUUCAAAUAAAAAUUAAAGUUUGCGACCUCGAUGUUGGAUUAAGAUAAAAUUUUAAUGCAAAAGUUAAAAAUUUUGAUCUGUUCGAUCAUUAAAAUCUUACA
rnacentral:rRNA from 1 species